AUGCCCCCGGGGACCGGGGGGGUGACAGAAGUCCCAGCCACCCAGCCUGACGCUGAGCCGCUUCUCCACGCUGGACGAGGACGCCAGCUGGCUCGGGAGCCGACAGCAGGGCGGGGCUGCCGUGGACGGGCCUCCGAAGCCCAGCAGCCGCUGCACCCACCGGUGCUGCCCUCGUCCAGCCACAGGCUCCCUCCCAGGCUGCCGGGGGAAUCCAGCCCGAAACUGGACGUGCAGCGCCCAGGCGCUCCAGAUGGUGGCCCAGGACACGGCCCAGCUGGGAGCCCUCCAGCCCUGUCUGGCAGAAUUGGAUCUGGGCCUAGAGCAACCAGGCUCGUCAUGGAAGACCUAAGUAUGGACUCUGAAGCCCCUAAAAUUGCAGAGGCCCCCUGGCAGUGCCGCCAUCCCGUAUGGGCGCCGGUUCGAGUCCCGGCUGCUCCUCUUCCGAUCCAGCCCUCUGCUGUGGCCUGGGAAGGCAGUGGAGGAUGCCCAAGUCCUGGGCCCCUGCACCUGCGUGGGAGACCAGGAAGAGGCUCCUGGCUCCAGCCUGGCCCAGCCCUGGCUGUUGUAGCCACCUGAGGAGUGACCCAGCAGGUGGAAGUCCUCUCUCUCUGUAACUCAGCUUUUCAAAGAAAUGAAUCUUUAAAAAAAAUGCAGAGGCCCCUUUUUAAGAAACAGACAAAAUUAAGAAAAUGCACGGUUAACGCCCAUGCUUAGUCUCCCAGGCCCUCUGUCCUUCCCUGUGAAUUCCAGUCCAACCGGUCACUCAUAGUCACUCACGGUCACACUGCCCACAGGCCAGACCUGCCCAUCCCACUAGCAGGUCAAUGCCAGGGGACUCACUCCUGGCAUCACCUCCUCCAGGAAGCCUGCCUUGAUGAGUGCUCCCUCCAGAGUGGAGGCCUCCCCACUGCCCCCUCAACCUUCCUCGUCCCUGUGUCACCAUCUGCAAGGCCUGUCCACCCUGUGCCCCAGGCAGUGAGCUCCACCCUGGUACCUGACACCCCAGAAGCACUCCAGGGAUGUUUGUUGAACGACUGUGUGAACGUCACACAGCUGAAAGCACAUGGUUUGGGGGCAGUCCUGGUGCCUGUGGGAUGCUGGGUAGGUCAGAGCCUGGUGCUGGGAGGCAUCUGGGUACCCAACCUUGUGGGACUGCUGUCACAGGUAGCCAGCUGUGGCCACGCACGCAGCAGGCCCAGCCUGGAGGGGGCCAGCAGCCCCCCACAGUGCCCGGGUGGACCGUGAGGCGGCCUCGUCCCUGGUGGAGCUCAGGGCCCAGGCUUGGCUGGGGUGGACGACGUGUCCACCACGCUCCCUGCAGCUCCGGGAGGCUGUGGCUCCCCUAGGCUGCCUGGGUGGGGGCAGGUGUUUGGCACAGGGGCUACGCUGCCCCCUCGGGACUCCUGCACCCCCUGGCAGAGUGCCUGGGUUCAAGCCUCAGCUCUUCUCCAGCUCCAGCUUCCUGCUAAGUGCACGUCCCGGAAGGCAGCAGGCGCCCGCCACCCUCGCAGACCUGGGUGGAGUCCUGGGCUCCUGUGUUGGCCUGGCCCAGCCCCAGCUGCUGUGGGCGUUUGGGGGUGGCCAGCAGAUAGAAGGUCUCGAUGUCUUUCUUUCAAAUAAAAUGAAAAUAAAUUUAAAAAUAAAGUCCA
ensembl:lncRNA